rnacentral:rRNA from 1 species
CUAGAGUGAGGGAGAGGCAGAUGGAAUUGGUGGUGUAGGGGUAAAAUCCGUAGAGAUCACCAGGAAUACCCAUUGCGAAGGCGAUCUGCUGGAACUCAACUGACGCUAAUGCGUGAAAGCGUGGGGAGCAAACAGGAUUAGAUACCCUGGUAGUCCACGCCCUAAACGAUGUAUACUAGUUGUUGCUAAGCUAGUCUUGGCAGUAAUGCACCUAACGGAUUAAGUAUACCGCCUGGGGAGUACGGUCGCAAGAUUAAAACUCAAAGGAAUAGACGGGGACCCGCACAAGCGGUGGAGCAUGUGGUUUAAUUCGAAGAUACGCGAAGAACCUUAACCCGGACUUGAUAUCUAACAAAUCAUCUAGAGAUAGAAUGAGUGUCUGCUUGCAGAAAUGUUAAGACAGGUGCUGCACGGCUGUCGUCAGCUCGUGUCGUGAGAUGUUGGGUUAAGUCCCGCUACGAGCGCAACCCACGUCAUUAGUUGCUAACAGUU